CUGAGACUUUCUGUCCUUAAAUGCUACUUGUAUGCCUCUAUUUGCCAAUGACAACAUUUUUUGCCGCCUCUUCACUCUAGCACACAGUAUGAACAAAAGCAUUUCAUUAGCAUUGCAAGCGCAUUGCUCUUUGACAUUGGUGUAUUUUUUAAAAACUGGAGAUGCUGCAACUUGUUGCUCAGAAUCCUGCAGAAGACUUGGCUUUUCUCUCUCCAUUCCUCUGAGGCUGAUAGGGAAGUCUGGGCUAGCUGGCUGGCUGGCUGCAGGGAUUGCUUACACAAUCCAAAGUGGUGCUCUUGAAACAUGGAUAUCUAAGUCAGGAGUGAAACUUCCCACUCGGAGCACAAAGGUGCCAUUUUACCUUUCUCUAUGCCUCUCCUUCUUCCUUUGCCUUGUAACUGUUUUGGCCAGUAUCCACAGCUGGCUUAGAUGUUGAUGGGAAAACUAAUGCAGCUGUUUUUUGGGGGGGAGCCAUUUUUUCCUUGGUGAAAAUCAGACCAAAUGCAAAAGAGUUGCAUUGCAUUGUGAGUAUGGUAUAUAGAAUAGAAUGAAACUGAAAGUUGUGUGUAUGGCUGACCCGCCUACAUCUUUACCCGUCUUCCUUUUUAUGUUCUCCAAGCUCAAAAUGUAGAUGCAUGAAGAACAUCCUGACAAAAUCCUGUUCCACCCAAGCCUUACAGUUUUGUAUUCUGUUUAAGUCUAGUUAACAAUCACUCUAGUGGUUCUUAUUUCAAUAACUUUAACAAACCUGUCUUUGAAGAAAGGCAAACUGUGAUGAGGAGCAAUGCCAAGAGUUUUACUAAUUCCAGUACUGAAACCAGACUGAAAAUGAAAUUGCAUUUCACUUUACUUUAGGACAAAAUGGAGGGACAAGUCUUUGUAAAGUGAAUACUUAAGAAAAAUGUGGAGGAGAAAUACCAUUUCAUUCAAUUGAAGAAAUACACCAAGAAGCUCCAAGUACAUUUUGAACUCUCAAAAGGAAUAACACAAAGGUGAGAAAUGAUUGGCUUACUUAGGAGCUCUGUUGUGUGUUUCUAGCAGUGGAUCUCGAUUUCUUUCUGGUAUGUUCAAGAGUGGUAGGAAGGAGGACUUGGUGAAGAAAGAGUGAAGCAAAGACAAGAGGAUAUCAUACGUCCUUUCCGUAAGAUUUUAGCCUCCUCGAUAGCAGACUGUUGAUUUGUACCAAUGCCAUGUCCAGUCUAACGCUGAGCUGAUGACCCUUACCACCUCUUCAUGCUCCUCUUUGAGGAGACAGCAUUUCUUAAGGGCGUUGAAUUGAAACGACUUUAUAGACUUGCUUUUUGUUAUGCAAAUUAACUGCUUGGAUUACUUGACUUUCUGCUGUGUUUAUGGACUCGCCUGUACUUAUAUGAACCGGUUUAAAUAGCUUUGUUAGUUCCUGUGCUUGCAGAAAGAUUUACAAUGGUUGAUCUUUGCUUAUAUUUCCCCUCCACAAUCUCCCAUUUUACGUAGUAUUAGCACUCUGCAAGGAAACAUGAUGUAAGUGGAGAUCAUGCUGUGAAAUUCCUAAGGACUGUGGCAUGGGUAUGCAUGAGUGUGUCGUCUUCUUGCUUAAAGCUAAACGGUACCAUAGCUAUAUUGGAAGUGAUGAUAUUUCUGGUUAAUUCUCUCUCAACUUAUCUGUCUUUGGUUCUUAUUAUGCUUAGCUUCUUCUUAGCAGGAGAAACAUCUGGUGAAUACCAUAUAAGGAAAAUGCCAAUUUAAGAAAUACUACAAUUAUUGCCUUAAUAAUCUUUUAUGCUUCUAGCAAUAUUAAAACAGUCCAGACUGAUAUUUAAAAUGUCUUAUAUAUAACUUUAAAUAUGCUCCAAGCUUAUAAAUUGAACAGAAACACUUGGUUAACAGAAUGUUUUCCAUCAGAAUUAUAAGUAUUUUUCUCACUUUUGUUUUUUCUUCCUCUGACAUUUUGUGUGCCUCUAGUGCAAGCUUUCCUGCUAAGUGUGUCCCAAAACUAAGUUUUUUUUUGGUUUUGAAGAUACUGGAGCAAAAAUAGUUAUGCUAUAGCUUCUUAUGUUGGAGUCUGAUUUCUCUUCAUCCUUCCAGAUUCAACUUAGAAUACAAUAUGUUUCAAGGAGAUGUUCUGAUAUGUCAUAGAAAGACUGUAGGCCAAUUUAUUUAUCAUGUAGCUAAAGAGGUUUCAUAUUCAGAAUCUGAAAUGGAGACAACCUUAAUUACUAUUUCAAGUGAGAAUGUAAAUACUGUUCUCCUUUGUGCAACAUAAGAACUUAAGGAAAUUUUCAAAAUUAAAUUAGGCAAGGUCUUAAGCAGCACGAACCUUUUAACAAUUUUUUUUCACUAAGGAGACCAUUGCUUUUUUUUCUGUCUUAGAGUAACUUCUAUUAAUUUUAUUUUAGUAUGUCUCACUGACUUUGACAUGCAAUUCUACAAAAAGAAAUACGAGGAGUUUUUUGUGUUCAUUGUCAGAGUAGAUAUGGGGUAUUUUAAUAUUCAAAUUAAUUUUGCCCUAAUAACCUCAUAACUAUACUCUAAGAAGAAAAUGAAACAAAUGCAAAGUAUUAUCAUUGUCUUCUCAAAAACAGAGAUAUUGAAGAAAUGUAGAAAUGUUUCAUUCCUAAACAACAUGGUUAGGUGAUUUAAAUCCAAGGACUUGAAGGUAAAUGUGAGUGCCAUAUUUGGCCUGUGAAUUAAUGAUUUAAUGUCACUCUGUUAGCCCUUGUGGGCACAAUUGUAUUGAAAAUUCAGGUGAUCUCAGUCCCACUAUCGUUUAAAUGAGCCUCAAACUGACAUGUUCUACUAGAUCGCAAAAUAGAAACCAUACGAAAUUAACAGACCUUCAGUCUAACUUAAUAAAACACAUACUUUUCUAACUUGCUCUUAUUGCCUUCCUUUUCUAGACCUUUAGGGAUUUUCCACUGCAUAUCUGGAAAAAAAGUUACAGUUUAAACACUGAGUCUACAGGAUGAAUGGUAAGAGGUAGCUAUACUAGCAGGCCAUUAUUACUCAAUUAGUACCAAGACAAUGACUUGCAUGAAGCAAGUGGAAUUCUAGUUUCUCUGCUUGGAAAUUUCAGGCUUUAGGUCAGUAUGCAUAAGAAACAACAAUUUUUUUGAAGAGUCAUAUGAAAUUGUGCGUACGGUCUUUAAACACUUCUAC
rnacentral:lncRNA from 1 species